AUCGCUUCUCUGCCUUUUGGCUAAGAUCAAGUGUAGUAUCUGUUCUUAUCAGUUUAAUAAAAGAAAGGACAAGAACUAUAUGAUCUUCUCAACUAAUGCAGAAAAAGCAUUUGACAAAGUGUGGCAUCCUUUCUUGAUUAAAACUCUCUUGAUUAAAACUUUCUGCAGUGUAGAGAUAGAGGGAAAAUACCUU